CCCCCGGUAGCUCAGCCGGUAGAGCAGGGUGAUACAGUGUGUCAGUGAUAUGAUGAAUAUCUGAGUCUCCCCGUCGCUGGUUCGACUCCAGCCCGGAGGU